AGUGAACGCUGGCGGUAGGCCUAACACAUGCAAGUCGAACGGCAGCACAGGAGAGCUUGCUCUCUGGGUGGCGAGUGGCGGACGGGUGAGGAAUACAUCGGAAUCUACCUUUUCGUGGGGGAUAACGUAGGGAAACUUACGCUAAUACCGCAUACGACCUACGGGUGAAAGGGGGGGACCGCACGGCCUCACGCCAUUAGAUGAGCCGAGGUCCGAUUAGCUAGUUGGCGGGGUAAUGGCCCACCAAGGCGACGAUCGGUAGCUGGUCUGAGAGGAUGAUCAGCCACACUGGAACUGAGACACGGUCCAGACUCCUACGGGAGGCAGCAGUGGGGAAUAUUGGACAAUGGGCGCAAGCCUGAUCCAGCCAUACCGCGUGGGUGAAGAAGGCCUUCGGGUUGUAAAGCCCUUUUGUUGGGAAAGAAAUCCUGUCGAUUAAUACUCGGUGGGGAUGACGGUACCCAAAGAAUAAGCACCGGCUAACUUCGUGCCAGCCGCCGCCGUAAUAC
rnacentral:rRNA from 1 species